rnacentral:rRNA from 1 species
UGAUGAGCCCCGCGGCCUAUCAGCUUGUUGGUGAGGUARUGGCUCACCAAGGCGACGACGGGUAGCCGGCCUGAGAGGGCGACCGGCCACACUGGGACUGAGACACGGCCCAGACUCCUACGGGAGGCAGCAGUGGGGAAUAUUGCACAAUGGGCGAAAGCCUGAUGCAGCGACGCCGCGUGAGGGAUGACGGCCUUCGGGUUGUAAACCUCUUUCAGCAGGGAAGAAGCGAAAGUGACGGUACCUGCAGAAGAAGCGCCGGCUAACUACGUGCCAG